rnacentral:rRNA from 1 species
CAAUAGCGUAUAUUAAUGUUGUUGCAGUUAAAAAGCUCGUAGUUGGAUUUCUGACAAGAAUGGCCGGUCCGGAUCUUCGGAUCUGUGCACUUGUGCUUGUUCUAGUCAUCCUUAUAGAGAACGUGUUUGGUAUUAACUUACCUUUCACGGGACCUAUAUCAUUUACUGUGAAAAAAUUAGAGUGUUCAAAGCAGGCAAUCGCUGUGAAUACAUUAGCAUGGAAUAAUAAGAUAGGACUUUGGUACUAUUUUGUUGGUUUGCAUACCAAGGUAAUGAUUAAGAGGGACAGUUGGGGGUAUUCGUAUUUAAUUGUCAGAGGUGAAAUUCUUGGAUUUAUGAAAGACGAACUACUGCGAAAGCAUUUACCAAGGAUGUUUUCAUUAA